rnacentral:rRNA from 1 species
GACGAACGCUGGCGGCGUGCUUAACACAUGCAAGUCGAACGGAAAGGCCUCUUUCGGGGGGUACUCGAGUGGCGAACGGGUGAGUAACACGUGAGUAACCUGCCCUUGACUUUGGGAUAACUUCAGGAAACUGGGGCUAAUACCGGAUAGGAGCUCCUGCUGCAUGGUGGGGGUUGGAAAGUUUCGGCGGUUGGGGAUGGACUCGCGGCUUAUCAGCUUGUUGGUGGGGUAGUGGCUUACCAAGGCUUUGACGGGUAGCCGGCCUGAGAGGGUGACCGGCCACAUUGGGACUGGGAUACGGCCCAGACUCCUACGGGAGGCAGCAGUGGGGAAUAUUGCACAAUGGGCGGAAGCCUGAUGCAGCAACGCCGCGUGCGGGAUGACGGCCUUCGGGUUGUAAACCGCUUUCGCCUGUGACGAAGCGUGAGUGACGGUAAUGGGUAAAGAAGCACCGGCUAACUACGUG